rnacentral:rRNA from 1 species
AUUGGCAUGCACCUCCUCUCAGCUCGUCUGGCAAGACCUCAUCUGGCCNCAAACUGCUGUCGCUCCCGGUGAGAUUCCGGCGUUGACUCCAAUUAAACCGCAAGCUUCACCCCUUGUGGUGCUCCCCCGCCAAUUCCUUUAAGUUUCAAUCUUGCGACCGUACUCCCCAGGCGGCAGGCUUAACAGCUUCCCUGCGGCACUAGAGCGGCACGUGGCCGCCCAAACACCUAGCCUGCAUCGUUUACAGCUGGGACUACCCGGGUAUCUAAUCCGGUUCGCUCCCCCAGCUUUCAUCCCUCACCGUCGGGCGCGUUCUAGCAGACAGCCUUCGCCACUGGUGGUCUUCCCGGGAUUAUAGGAUUUCACCCCUACCCCGAAAAUACCGUCUGCCUCUCUCGUCCCCUAGCCGAGCAGUAUCCCCCGCAAUCCAACGAUUAAUUCGGUGGGUUUAACAAGGGACUUACUUGGCCAGCUACGGAUGCUUUAGGCCCAAUAAACAUCCACACCACUCGGAGAGCUGGUAUUACCGCGGCGGCUGACACCAGACUUGCCCUCUCCUUAUUCCCCCAGCGUUCUAGACUGGGUAAAAGCCAUCCUCAGCG